AACUUAACUGGAAGUAUUUCAUGCAGAUUCAUUCAACUUGGUAGUUAACAAUGGUGCAUCUGCUGGACAAGUUAUAUUUCAUACUCAUAUUCAUAUAAUCCCUCGAAAGGUGCAUGAUUGCUUGUGGCCUUCUGAGAGUUUACGGAGGCGUCGCCUAAAGUUGGACCAGGAUGUUUUUAAACUUGUAGAUAGUGUUCGAGAACAGUUAUCAGUAUCGAACAACACCAAGAAUGGUCUCACAGGAAAUUAGUGGGUCAUUGAUCUGCAGUUGUAAUUUAUGCUAUGAUGAUUGGAAAAGGUGGC